CCUACGGGAGGCAGCAGUGAGGAAUAUUGGUCAAUGGGCGCGAGCCUGAACCAGCCAAGUAGCGUGAAGGAUGACUGCCCUACGGGUUGUAAACUUCUUUUAUAAAGGAAUAAAGUUAGGAACGUGUGCCUUUUUGUCUGUAGUUUAUUAAUAAGGAUCGGCUAACUCCGUGCCAGCAGCCGCGGUAAUACGGAGGAUCCGAGCGUUUUCCGGAUUUAUUGGGUUUAAAGGGAGCGUAGAUGGGUUGUUAAGUCAGUUGGGAAAGUUUGCGGCUCAACCGUCAAAUUGCAAUUGAUACUGGCAGACUUGAGUACAGGUGAGGUAGGCGGAAUGCGUGGUGUAGCGGUGAAAUGCUUAGAUAUCACGAAGAACUCCGAUUGCGAAGGCAGCUUACUAGACUGCCACUGACAUUGAGGCUCGAAAGUGUGGGUAUCAAACAGGAUUAGAUACCCUAGUAGUC
rnacentral:rRNA from 1 species